UUGGAUCCUGGCACAGAGAUGGUGUCUAGUGGAUGAUGUGAACUGAAUGCACGAGAGCUGUGUGACCUGACACGUGGGACCAUUCAUCCAGCGGCAUGACCAGAUGACAGCACAUCCAAUUCAUCGUAUACAGGUGCCAAGUAACUUCAGCUUGCCACUCUUGGGUAAAUGAUGACUGCUUUAAUUUAUACCUGCUGGGAAGCCCUCACCUAAGGAAAG
rnacentral:lncRNA from 1 species